GAACGCUAGCGACAGGCUUAACACAUGCAAGUCGAGGGGCAGCACAGGUAGCAAUACCGGGUGGCGACCGGCGCACGGGUGAGUAACGCGUAUGCAACUUACCUAUCAGAGGGGGAUAACCCGGCGAAAGUCGGACUAAUACCGCAUGAAGCAGGGGCCCCGCAUGGGGAUAUUUGCUAAAGAUUCAUCGCUGAUAGAUAGGCAUGCGUUCCAUUAGGCAGUUGGCGGGGUAACGGCCCACCAAACCGACGAUGGAUAGGGGUUCUGAGAGGAAGGUCCCCCACAUUGGUACUGAGACACGGACCAAACUCCUACGGGAGGCAGCAGUGAGGAAUAUUGGUCAAUGGCCGAGAGGCUGAACCAGCCAAGUCGCGUGAGGGAUGAAGGUUCUAUGGAUCGUAAACCUCUUUUAUAAGGGAAUAAAGUGCGGGACGUGUCCCGUUUUGUAUGUACCUUAUGAAUAAGGAUCGGCUAACUCCGUGCCAGCAGCCGCGGUAAUACGGAGGAUCCGAGCGUUAUCCGGAUUUAUUGGGUUUAAAGGGUGCGUAGGCGGCCUUUUAAGUCAGCGGUGAAAGUCUGUGGCUCAACCAUAGAAUUGCCGUUGAAACUGGGGGGCUUGAGUAUGUUUGAGGCAGGCGGAAUGCGUGGUGUAGCGGUGAAAUGCAUAGAUAUCACGCAGAACCCCGAUUGCGAAGGCAGCCUGCCAAGCCAUUACUGACGCUGAUGCACGAAAGCGUGGGGAUCAAACAGGAUUAGAUACCCUGGUAGUCCACGCAGUAAACGAUGAUCACUAACUGUUUUGCGAUACCCGUUAAGCGGCACAGCGAAAGCGUUAAGUGAUCCACCUGGGGAGUACGCCCGGCAACGGUGAAACUCAAAGGAAUUGACGGGGGCCCGCACAAGCGGAGGAACAUGUGGUUUAAUUCGAUGAUACGCGAGGAACCUUACCCGGGUUUGAACGCAUUCGGACCGAGGUGGAAACACCUUUUCUAGCAAUAGCCGUUUGCGAGGUGCUGCAUGGUUGUCGUCAGCUCGUGCCGUGAGGUGUCGGCUUAAGUGCCAUAACGAGCGCAACCCUUGCCACUAGUUACUAACAGGUAAAGCUGAGGACUCUGGUGGGACUGCCAGCGUAAGCUGCGAGGAAGGCGGGGAUGACGUCAAAUCAGCACGGCCCUUACAUCCGGGGCGACACACGUGUUACAAUGGCGUGGACAAAGGGAAGCCACCUGGCGACAGGGAGCGAAUCCCCAAACCACGUCUCAGUUCGGAUCGGAGUCUGCAACCCGACUCCGUGAAGCUGGAUUCGCUAGUAAUCGCGCAUCAGCCAUGGCGCGGUGAAUACGUUCCCGGGCCUUGUACACACCGCCCGUCAAGCCAUGGGAGCCGGGGGUACCUGAAGUCCGUAACCGCGAGGAUCGGCCUAGGGUAAAACUGG
rnacentral:rRNA from 1 species